CCCCUGACGGUAUCUAACCAGAAAGCCACGGCUAACUACGUGCCAGCAGCCGCGGUAAUACGUAGGUGGCAAGCGUUGUCCGGAUUUAUUGGGCGUAAAGCGAGCGCAGGCGGUUUCUUAAGUCUGAUGUGAAAGCCCCCGGCUCAACCGGGGAGGGUCAUUGGAAACUGGGAGACUUGAGUGCAGAAGAGGAGAGUGGAAUUCCAUGUGUAGCGGUGAAAUGCGUAGAUAUAUGGAGGAACACCAGUGGCGAAGGCGGCUCUCUGGUCUGUAACUGACGCUGAGGCUCGAAAGCGUGGGGAGCAAACAGGAUUAGAUACCCUGGUAGUCCACGCCGUAAACGAUGAGUGCUAAGUGUUGGAGGGUUUCCGCCCUUCAGUGCUGCAGCAAACGCAUUAAGCACUCCGCCUGGGGAGUACGACCGCAAGGUUGAAACUCAAAGGAAUUGACGGGGGCCCGCACAAGUGGAGCAUGUGGUUUAAUUCGAAGCAACGCGAAGAACCUUACCAGGUCUUGACAUCCUUUGACCACUCUAGAGAUAGAGCUUUCCCUUCGGGGACAAAGUGACAGGUGGUGCAUGGUUGUCGUCAGCUCGUGUCGUGAGAUGUUGGGUUAAGUCCCGCAACGAGCGCA
rnacentral:rRNA from 1 species